UACAGAGGUGGCAAGCGUUGUUCGGAAUUACUGGGCGUAAAGGGCGCGUAGGCGGUUCGUUAAGUCCUGUGUGAAAUCCCUCGGCUUAACCGGGGAACUGCGUCUGAUACUGGAUGGCUUGAGAUUGGGAGAGGGAUGCGGAAUUCCAGGUGUAGCGGUGAAAUGCGUAGAUAUCUGGAGGAACACCGGUGGCGAAGGCGACAUCCUGGACCAACACUGACGCUGAGGAGCGAAAGCCAGGGGAGCAAACGGG
rnacentral:rRNA from 1 species